CAGUCUAGGAACUGCGCUGGUGGGGACAGGAAAUUGGGCCGAAGGGAGAUGAGUCCCCGGCGUGCGGUGGAGCCUCGCUGGGGGAAAUGUCAGCUUGGACCAUGGGCGCCCGCGGUCUGGACAAGCGAGGAAGUUUCUUUAAGCUCAUUGACACAAUUGCCUCGGAGAUCGGAGAACUGAAACAGGAGAUGGUGCGGACAGAUGUCAGCCUGGAAAAUGGCCUGGAACCCGCUGAAACCCACAGCAUGGUAAGACACAAGGAUGGUGGCUAUUCCGAGGAAGAGGACGUGAAGACCUGUGCCCGGGACUCAGGCUAUGACAGCCUCUCCAACAGGCUCAGCAUCUUGGACCGGCUCCUCCACACCCACCCCAUAUGGCUGCAGUUGAGUCUGAGUGAGGAGGAGGCAGCAGAGGUCCUGCAGGCCCAGCCUCCAGGG
rnacentral:sRNA from 1 species